UACAGAGGUCUCAAGCGUUGUUCGGAUUCAUUGGGCGUAAAGGGUGCGUAGGCUGUGCAGAAAGUUGGGUGUGAAAUCCCUCGGCUUAACCGAGGAACUGCGCCCAAAACUACUGUGCUUGAGGGAGAUAGAGGUGAGCGGAACUGAGGGUGGAGCGGUGAAAUGCGUUGAUAUCCUCAGGAACACCCGUGGCGAAAGCGGCUCACUGGGUCUCUUCUGACGCUGAGGCACGAAAGCUAGGGGAGCAAACGGG
rnacentral:rRNA from 1 species